UAUAUCAGUGAUAAUCUAUUUGAUUGUACGUCCCAUUGGAUAACCGUGGGAAAUCUAGAGCUAAUACAUGCAUCGACAGCUGCGGCGACGCAACUGAGCAUUUAUUAGAAUAAACCAUCUGCUGGCAACAGCAAGACGAAUCUAGAUAACUAUGCUAAUCGCAUGGCCUUGUGCCGGCGUUGAUUCAAUUGAGUUUCUGCCCUAUCAACUUGUUGGUAAGGUAUUGGCUUACCAAGGUUGCCACGGGUAACGGGGAAUCAGGGUUCGAUUCCGGAGAGGGAGCCUGAGAAACGGCUACCACAUCCAAGGAAGGCAACAGGCGCGGAAAUUACCCAAUCUAGACAGUAGGAGGUGGUGAAGAGAAUUACUAAGUGGUUACUCAAUGAGUUWCCAGCUUGGAAUGAACGUAACUUAAGCAAUUCGAUGAGAAACAACUGGAGGGCAAGUCCUGGUGCCAGCAGCCGCGGUAAUUCCAGCUCCAGUAGUUUGCUUUAAAGUUGUUGCGUUUAAAACGCUCGUAGUUGGAUCAUGGAGUCACAGCCAGCAGUCGAAACGUAGCUACAGCUAGAAGAARGACCGUCUCGCACGGCAUCAUCGACCCGUAGCUUGUUAGACAAGUACGCUGGACGUGGCUAAUUGCGCGUGAGAUGGAACGUUAACCUUGAUUGCGUUGGUGUUUCCGUCUUGCGGAGUGUGCCUUGAAUAAAACAGAGUGCUUCAAGCAGGCGAUCGCCUGAAUGUUAUAGCAUGGAACGAACAAUCGUGUUUACGUGUUUCGCAGUGGCACGUUGCUGAUCUCUKGKWGGUAACGUUCUGCGCGGAUCACAUCACCCACCAAAAUAUAGCUGUGKUUCUAUAUACGGUGAUGAUUAAGAGGUUCUGUUGGGGGCAUCGGUAUUUGGCCGCGAGAGGUGAAAUUCUUGGACCGGCCAAGGACUAACAAAUGCAAAGGCACUUGUCCAGACCGUAUCCAUUAAUCAAGAACGAAAGUGGGAGGUUCGAAGACGAUCAGAUACCGUCCUAGUUCCCACCGUAAACUAUGCCGACCUGGGAUUAGUGCAGAGAUAACACUUGCUCUGCAUUAGUCCCUCUGGGAAACUUGAAGUUUUUCGGUUACGGGGAGAGUAUGGUCGCAAGGCUGAAACUUAAAGGAAUUGACGGAAGGGCACCACCAGGGRUGGAGCUUGCGGCUUAAUUUGACUCAACACGGGGAAACUUACCUGGUCCGGACGUCGAUAGGAUACACCGACUAAUAGAACUUAAGUUGAUGCGAUGAGUGGUGGUGCAUGGCCGUUCUUAGUUCGUGGAGUGAUCUGUCAGCUCAAUUGCGGUAACGAACGAGACCACAGUCUCCAUUUAAGAGGCGGAAAAAUUGGUAACGACUUGCUGGGGCAACUCAGCCGAGUCCUUCCCGCAGAAUGAACACGGACCUAGUCAAGUGUGCGUGAUGAGGCAACUUGUUGUGAGCAUUUGGCUGGAACUGUUUUCAUCUUUCCGCUAAGCASUAGCGGUCUUACUCGUUGCUGCCUUAUGGAGAGACAACGAGGAAUACAAAGCUCGAGGAAGAGUGGCUAUAACAGGUCAGUGAUGCCCUUCGAUGUUC
rnacentral:rRNA from 1 species